UGCCUGUACGUAGAGUUUUGUUGUAGCUGUGCCCGCAAGGGGAUGUGCACACCUUCUCUUUCAUCCACACACCCCUGUGCACUCGUGAGACAGAGGCUUCCUUUGAACUCUCUUUAGGUAGGGAGGAGAGGGGCCUCUGUCUGUUCUACACAAACUCAUAUUUAAUAAAUUGAAUGUAAUUGAUGUAAACGCAUCUCAAUACUAAGUUUCAACAACGGAUCUCUUGGCUCUCGCAUCGAUGAAAAACGCAGCGAAAUGCGAUAAGUAAUGUGAAUUGCAGAAUUCAGUGAAUCAUCGAAUCUUUGAACGCACCUUGCGCUCCUUGGUAUUCCUCGGAGCAUGCCUGUUUGAGUAUCAUGAAAUUAUCAAAGCAAGACUUUUGUUAAAUCGAUUGGCUUGUCUUUGGACUUGGGGGUUUGCAGAUUCACGUCUGCUCUCCUUAAACACAUCAGCUGGAUCUCAGUAUGCUUGGUUCCACUCAGCGUGAUAAGUAUCAUUCGCUGAGGACACCCGUGAAAAGGUGGCCAGGAGUGCAGAUGAACCGCUUCCAACAGUCUAUUUGCUUAGACAACUUAUUUAUGAUCUGAUCUCAAAUCAGGUAGGACUACCCGCUGAACUUAA
rnacentral:rRNA from 1 species